UAUAAAGUGGGUCAACAGAUAGCCCAUUACUUAAUGCUCCGUGGAUGGGUGGCUGUGCAAACAGGCUUCUCUCUAGAUUCCAUGAGCACAUGUGAUGAGGCUCUACGCCCUCCACCCCCAACACCCCGGGGCCGACUGCCAACAACAUAUCAAAACCAACCCCUUGCCACAGAGCACAGAAACAGGCAUUCACGGUUGUGGGCUCUGUGCGUCCGAGUGACUUGCUGAGCCGAUAGAGAAGUGUGUAGCUGGGCUAUCCUCAGACCUGCUGAACUGAUGGAGAAGUGUGUAGCUGGGCUAUCCUUGGAUCUGCUGAGCUGAUGGAGAAGUGUGUAGCUGGGUUAUCCUCGGACCUGAGGCUGCUUAGCUAAACCUCUCGUUUUGUGCUGGGAGACUUUUUAGCACACAGGAUCUGCCUGGGCAGUAGGAGGAAGAAAGGAGGACCCGCACUUUACAAGGCAUACAGCGCUGAAGCACAGAGAAGCUAUGUGCUCUGCCCAUCGGCACACAGAGGAGACAGAACGCUGAACUGGGAAAUCUCGAUCAAACUCUUAUACCCGAACCGUUUAAUUCUUAAAUGAGGCUAACUUUUUAGGGAGGCGGAAGCAGGCCCGAGCGUCAGUGAAAUGAGAUUUUAUGGACCCUGUGUAGGGACAGGAUCUAAAACAGGGAGCAAGUUGGGGGAGCUAUCAUAAAACAUGCUCCCAGAUUGAUAAACAGAGACUGGGGGAGAGGCGUGGCCAGGGUAAGCUACAGAGAGGCUGAGUCUUCAGCUGUGGAUACAAUGUUUCCAGGCAGGGUGGGCUGGUGGUCAUCAACCAAUGUGCUAACGAGGGGAGCAAGCAGGGCUGCUCUUUCUCUAACCACAGCGCCCUGUUAUCUCCCUUUGUCUCUCAGCGAGUAGCAGGACAGGACUUCAGUGUGGCCAUGUACAGGAAACACACCACAGUACCACAAAAGGACCAAGAUGCUCGUUUCCUGUCAGGAUGACAGAUGCUUCAAUUAGCAGACAGGGCCGUUUCUCCCCA
rnacentral:lncRNA from 1 species